UCCCUACAGCCAGAAUGUUCUUUCUUAAAAGCAAAAUUGAUCUUGUCACUGCUAUGCCUAGAAAUGUUAAGAGACUCCUCAUUACACCCAGGAUAAAACAUAAUUCCUUCUUUUGUUCACCUGGGUGCUCCCUGCAGUCCAACCACAGUGGACAAGUCCUCAAGUGGUGCCCAUACUGGACUUUGUGCCUUUUACAAUCUGUUCACUCUGCUUGAAUGCCUUUCCUCUUCCUUUCCUGGCCGAAUUUGGUUUAUGUGGCAUCCUCAUUAGGCUAUUUGUUCAGACAUCUUCUUCUCUUGGAGCCUUUUCUCACCAUUCCCCUUCAUCCCUUCAUGUUCUCACAAUCCCAUUCACAUCUCUGUUGCAUUGCCCCAGACCUGCUGCUGUGUUUGAUUUUGUCAGUAAGUGCUUGUUGAAUGACUGAAUAAAUGGUGGUGGGGGGGUCUCCUCCCUCAGGAUCCUACUCCCUUCUGUCUGUGCCCACAGUGUCUCCCCUCCUACCUGCUCCCUCCCCUUGCUCCUCUGCUCCAGGUUUUCUCCAAUGAGGGCCAGUUCAAGUUCCGUUUUGGGGUCCGAGGACGCUCACCUGGGCAGCUGCAGCGCCCCACAGGUGUGGCAGUGGACACCAAUGGAGACAUAAUUGUGGCAGACUAUGACAACCGUUGGGUCAGCAUCUUCUCCCCUGAGGGCAAGUUCAAGACCAAGAUUGGAGCUGGCCGCCUCAUGGGCCCCAAGGGAGUGGCCGUAGACCGGAAUGGACAUAUCAUUGUGGUCGACAACAAGUCUUGCUGCGUCUUUACCUUCCAGCCCAAUGGCAAACUGGUUGGCCGUUUUGGGGGCCGUGGGGCCACUGACCGCCACUUUGCAGGGCCCCAUUUUGUGGCUGUGAACAACAAGAAUGAGAUUGUAGUAACGGACUUCCAUAACCAUUCAGUGAAGGUGUACAGUGCCGAUGGAGAGUUCCUCUUCAAGUUUGGCUCCCAUGGCGAGGGCAAUGGGCAGUUCAAUGCCCCCACAGGAGUAGCUGUGGACUCCAAUGGAAACAUCAUUGUGGCUGACUGGGGCAACAGCCGCAUCCAGGUAUUCGACAGCUCUGGCUCCUUCCUGUCCUAUAUCAACACAUCUGCAGAACCACUGUAUGGUCCACAGGGCCUGGCACUGACCUCGGAUGGCCAUGUGGUGGUGGCUGAUGCUGGCAACCACUGCUUUAAAGCCUAUCGCUACCUCCAGUAGCUGUACAGAGGCCCUGCCUGGCUUGUGGAGGGACAGACAUUGGGGUGAUUGGACAAGAGGGUCUGGCUGGGAGGUGGGCCAGACCUGGCAGCACUGAAUGUGGGCUGUGGGCAUGGGUGCGCCCGGUGCCCUCCCUCUCCUACCCCCACCCCCACGGUUGCACUUUAUUUAUUCGGUUCUUGCUUUGGUGACUGGGUGAGCCUGGACUGUGGUCCCAAGGAUGUGUGCAGAGCUUCACCCUACUCUUCUUACACACCUCCCCACCCCUGUCAGUCUGCUCCCCAUCCCCCAGCCUGGGGCCAGAACAGCCUACCCCAGGACAGGAGUCCCUCUAGUUGUCUCCCUACCACCCUAUACACACUGACAGAGACAGCAAUACCCCACCCCCCAUAUUAAAUAAAUGUCUUCACCAAG
rnacentral:sRNA from 1 species